UACAGAGGGGGCAAGCGUUGUUCGGAAUUACUGGGCGUAAAGGGCGCGUAGGCGGCCUGCUAAGUCGAACGUGAAAUCCCUGGGCUCAACCCAGGAACUGCGUCCGAUACUGGUUGGCUUGAAUCCGGGAGAGGGAUGUGGAAUUCCAGGUGUAGCGGUGAAAUGCGUAGAUAUCUGGAGGAAUACCGAUGGCGAAGGCAGGUCUCUGGGCUGACACUGACGCUCAUGCACGAAAGCGUGGGGAGCAAACAGG
rnacentral:rRNA from 1 species